UACAGAGGUCCCAAGCGUUGUUCGGAUUCACUGGGCGUAAAGGGUGCGUAGGCGGUCGGGUAAGUCUGAUGUGAAAGCUCGCGGCUUAACCGCGAAAUGGCAUCGGAUACUAUCUGGCUGGAGGAGUGGAGGGGAGACUGGAAUUCUCGGUGUAGCAGUGAAAUGCGUAGAUAUCGAGAGGAACACCUGUGGCGAAGGCGAGUCUCUGGACACUUCCUGACGCUGAGGCACGAAAGCCAGGGGAGCAAACGGG
rnacentral:rRNA from 1 species